rnacentral:rRNA from 1 species
UACGUAGGGUGCAAGCGUUGUCCGGAAUUAUUGGGCGUAAAGAGCUCGUAGGCGGUUCGUCACGUCGGAUGUGAAAUCCCGAGGCUCAACCUCGGGUCUGCAGUCGAUACGGGCGGACUGGAGUACUGCAGGGGAGACUGGAAUUCCUGGUGUAGCGGUGAAAUGCGCAGAUAUCAGGAGGAACACCGGUGGCGAAGGCGGGUCUCUGGGCAGUAACUGACGCUGAGGAGCGAAAGCGUGGGGAGCGAACAGG